GCAGUAGCCACGGGAAUACAGAGGGUGCGAGCGUUAAUCGGAUUUACUGGGCGUAAAGCGUGCGUAGGCGGCUUCUUAAGUCGGAUGUGAAAUCCCUGAGCUUAACUUAGGAAUUGCAUUCGAUACUGGGAAGCUAGAGUAUGGGAGAGGAUGGUAGAAUUCCAGGUGUAGCGGUGAAAUGCGUAGAGAUCUGGAGGAAUACCGAUGGCGAAGGCAGCCAUCUGGCCUAAUACUGACGCUGAGGUACGAAAGCAUGGGGAGCAAACAGGAUUAGAGACCCCAGUAGUCCCUGUCUCUUAUAA
rnacentral:rRNA from 1 species